rnacentral:rRNA from 1 species
GGAGUUCAGACGUGUGCUCUUCCGAUCUCGGCGGGCCUAACACAUGCAAGUCGAACGAUGAAGCACCUUCGGGUGUGGAUUAGUGGCGCACGGGUGAGUAACACGUAGGUAAUUUACCCUCGGGCGGGGGACAACUUUUCGAAAGAGAAGCUAAUACCGCAUAAGACCACAGCCUCUGCGGAGGCAGUGGGAAAAGAUGGCCUCUUCUUGAAAGCUAUCACCGGAGGAUAAGCCUGCGUCCCAUCAGCUUGUUGGUAAGGUAACGGCUUACCAAGGCGAAGACGGGUAGCUGGUCUGAGAGGAUGAUCAGCCACACUGGUACUGGAACACGGACCAGACUCCCACGGGAGGCAGCAGUGAGGAAUAUUGGGCAAUGGGCGCAAGCCUGACCCAGCCACGCCGCGUGAGUGAUGAAGGCCUUCGGGUUGUAAAGCUCUGUGGGGAAGGAAGAAAACGUCGGGAUAUAAUACAUCCCGGCCUUGACGGUACUUCUUUAGCAAGCACCGGCUAACUCUGUGCCAGCAGCCGCGGUAAUACAGAGGGUGCAAACGUUGCUCGGAAUUACUGGGCGUAAAGCGCGUGUAGGCGGAUUCGAAAGUCAGAUGUGAAAUCCCUGGGCUCAACCUAGGAACUGCAUUUGAAACUUCGUGUCUAGAGUGAUGGAGAGGAAAGCGGAAUUAUUGGUGUAGAGGUGAAAUUCGUAGAUAUCAAUAGGAACACCAGUGGCGAAGGCGGCUUUCUGGACAUUUACUGACGCUGAGACGCGAAAGCAUGGGGAGCAAACAGGAUUAGAUACCCUGGUAGUCCAUGCCGUAAACGAUGUCAACUAGCCGUUGGGCUCCUUGAGGGCUUAGUGGCGCAGCUAACGCGAUAAGUUGACCGCCUGGGGAGUACGGUCGCAAGACUAAAACUCAAAUGAAUUGACGGGGGCCCGCACAAGCGGUGGAGCAUGUGGUUUAA